GGACCCGCACAAGCGGUGGAGUAUGUGGUUUAAUUCGAUGCAACGCGAAGAACCUUACCAGGGUUUGAAAUCAUUCCAAAACUCCUUGAAAAGGGAGCCUCCUUCGGGAUGGAAUGACAGGUGGUGCAUGGCUGUCGUCAGCUCGUGUUGUGAAAUGUCGAGUUAAGUCUCGUAACGAGCGCAACCCAUGUCUCUUGUUGCUGUAUCAGUGCUUAAGAGAGACUGCCGAUCAACAUCGGAGGAAGGUGUGGAUGAUGUCAAGUCAGCAUGCCCCUUACAUCCUGGGCUACACACGUACUACAAUGGGAGGGACAAUGAGCUGCAAACCUGCGAAGGCUAGCCAAUCUCAAAAACCCUCUCUCAGUUCGGAUUGCACUCUGCAACUCGAGUGCAUGAAGGUGGAAUCGCUAGUAAUCGCUGGUCAGCUAUACAGCGGUGAAUACGUUCCCGGGUCUUGUACACACUGCCCGUCACACCAUGGAAGUCGACUCUUCCCUAAGUUGUUACUCGAACCCUCUGGGACGAGGAUGCCGAAGGCAGGGUUGGUGACUGGGGUG
rnacentral:rRNA from 1 species